AAAUCAACAAUUUUAUUUCGUCAUUAAUAAUAUAAAACAUAAAUAAUUUUAUUGAUUUAUAAUUUUAUGCCGAUAACACAUGUUCUAUAUGGCUUUGAUUUCUUAGAUGCAUAUUCCUUGGCUUAUGCUUGUAUUUAAGUAGUCAAUUGUUCUUUAGUUUUAGAGGAUUGGGUGUUCUGUUGUAAUUUAUAAAUUUGCGUAUUCUAGUAUUCUUAACCAGUUCUUUAUUUUAAAAUUUUGCAACCAAAUGCUUUAUGAAAGUUUCUUUAACAAAGCAUAUAAUCCGCUACUAGUUUUGCUAAGGAAUGUUAGGAUUGAAAUCUAUGGUUUGAUUGUAUAGCUGGAUUUGAGGUCAGCGAGGCCUCCAAGAAUUGGAAAAAAAGAACAGAGAAAGGAAAAGAAAAGAACAAAGCUUUAGUAGAAAAGAACGUGAGAGAAGAAAGAAGAAAUUGUAUUUCAGAAUUACACUUUGCUUGAUUAACACGUGUACAACUCUUUGGUCUCUUAAACCACACCUCACAGCUGUCACCAACUCACUAGUCUGCAACUAACUCUAGCUACCCUUGCACAGUCACCAACCACUGACACUAACCAAACCGUAUACCCUACAACACUCAACACUGAUAUGCAAGCCUCAUAUCUACACUUAGGCACUCAGGCACUAGGCACUUGUACUACACUAUCCAGCUACUACCUUACAACUGAUGCAAACCAUCCUAUAACCCAACGUACAAACUGAUACAACAUACAAAACUAUGCUUAUCAAGGAAUCACUUCAGGUUGAUAAUACCUAUAACCCAACGUACAAACUGAUGCAAACCAUCCUAUAACCCAACGUACAAACGGAUACAACAUACAAAACUAUGCUUAUCAAGGAAUCACUUCAGGUUGAUAAUACCUGGUAAUAUUGCUCCUUAAACUAGUAUGAAACUUUUAAGUGAUAUGUUAAUUAGUAUGAUUUAGGAGCUUUGAUGUUGCUUAUAUACAAUACAGACUAAUCACACAAUCUUUUCCCAUGAGUAAAGCAACCAUAUUUCUACUAGCUAUGCUCAUUUGAUUAAACUUAUGUUACUUUUUUUUUACUUUUCCCCUUUUUGCGACAACAAAUUUUGUAAAAGGAAUAUAAGAAACUGAAAUAUUUCAAAUAUAGUCUUAUCAAGGUAAUAAUUGAGAGUAUAUCAUAAUGGUCAAAGAUUAUGUUAAGAAUAAUUUGCAAUAAUUUUAUACCAAGUAUCCCAAGCAUUUAUUCUCAAAAAAAAAGUAUCCCAAGCAUUUUAUCACGGUGAAAAGACAAAAUUAGUCAAAUCAGACAUAAAAAUUGAGAAAUAUACACAAUAUAAACUUUCUUUUGUGGCAAAAAAAAAAUGAAAAUUUUGAAGCCUCAAACCUUGACAAAAGCAAACUUUCAUAAAUAAAAAUAAUAAUGAUAUUUUAGGGUGAGGUCAUUUAUUUUAUAUAUACACCAUAAAAUUUAACCUAUAAUGUAUAUUCCAGGAUGAUUGUUUUUUAUAGCAAUUAGUUUUUGGUGUAGGUAAGGUUUAAUAAUAAGAGGUUUUGCUAGUUAAACUAACUAGAACUCAUUGGAUGAGAUCAUUUUAGAUAAUAAUUUUUUUUCCUUUUAUGGGAUAAUUUUUAGGUUUACACAAGCAAGCUAGAGAUAUGGUCACGAGAGACUAUCUCAAUUUAUUAUCACUUCCUUCCCUAACAAUGAUUUCUUAAUUUAUUAUUUGUAGACAUAAGUGAAAACCUAAUUAAUUCUAAAGAGAAGAAUACCUUAUCAACGUAACUAAAUUUAUAAGAAGUUCAAGAGAAAGAUUUGAAUCCAAGUUCUUUACCUAAUGUUCAAACACGUGUAAUAACUUCAAUUUCUUGGAAAAGUUAGAGCUUCACCUAAUGUUCAAAUGAUGAUAUGGGAUUUUUUUUUUUUUUUUCCUUUUUCUGCAUGAUUUAUUUAUAAUGGGGGCAGAAUCUUGAAUCUUUAUCUAGGAUGAAUAAAGCUGCCACCCAAAUUAUAAGGGUCUGGAAUUAAUAAUGAGAAGACCAUGAUCACACACUUCAACUUAUUGUAUAUGUAUACUUUUGGGCUUUUGGCUGUUAACAUUUGGAUUCUGUGUUAUGAUCAAUUCAAGACAGCUAUGAUAAUUUUAAAAGUCAUAUUUGGAGUUUUGGACCAAUGUAUUUGGUGUGGCAGACUUAGAAUUUUUUUUCCUGGGGCACGAUUUAUCUAAAUAGGAUAGAUAUAUUUCUAUUAUGAAGAAUUUCAUUCUUCUAUUUGAAGAAAGAAAAAAAAGGUCACAAGGAUUCAAGAUUUUUGAUGACUUUUACUCCAGAAGGAUAAAUGGACUAAUGGCAUAGUAAAGUUUAUUAGAAUAUUCAAACCUAAAAUUUUUAAGCUAUUAGGUAAAGAGUCUUAAUUAGUAAUAGUAUAUGAAGCUAAAGUUCUCAAAAUCCCAGCCACCGAAACUGCUCGGGUUUGGCAAACAUGGCAGAACCUUAUUCAAAACCGUUGCUGAGCUGGUGAUAGUGUACCACAAGAAAAGGAAAUUCUCCGGCCACCUUCUCAGGAAAUUGCGCUUCUUCCCCAUCUCAGGGUGAAGUAUCCAUUCGAUCCCGUUGAGAACGUGACUCGCCGUAAAUUUCUUUGAGGCAAGAAGACAUAUCUAUUAUAUAUGAGGUACAUGGUGGCUAAGCUGGUGAAGACCUAUUUCAAAAAUCAAAUUGGGAACAAGGGUAGCUAUGUUGAUUUCAUGCCAGACAGCUUCAAUUGUAUAAUGCUAAUCCAUAUGACUACCAGAAGUUGUAGAUUGCAAUGCACUCAAAUGUCGACAAAGAUAUGAAUAGUUUGUUUCCAGAAUUUUGUUCAAAAUUGCUUGAUGCAAAUCUUCCGUGGGCUUCAUAGGCAGGAAGUUCACCUUGGAGGAAAAAAUUUAGUAGAUAUUCUAUUUGCUAAUCCAUGUGACUCUACUAGAAGUUUUAGGUUUGUCUAAUGCUUUGAUACUAGUGUAAAUAGAAAUUUUUCUAAAUUUAAUUGUAUAAUGAUAAGCUAUCUUCUAUUGUUA